rnacentral:rRNA from 1 species
CACGUAGGGGGCGAGCGUUGUCCGGAUUUAUUGGGCGUAAAGAGCUCGUAGGCGGCUCGGUAAGUCGGGUGUGAAAACUCGGGGCUCAACCCCGAGACGCCACUCGAUACUGCCAUGGCUAGAGUCCGGUAGGGGAGCGUGGAAUUCCUGGUGUAGCGGUGAAAUGCGUAGAUAUCGGGAGGAACACCAGUGGCGAAGGCGACUACCUGGCCCACUCUUGACGCUGAGGCGCGAAAGCUAGGGGAGCGAACGGG